rnacentral:ncRNA from 1 species
GGGAAUCCGCUAAGGAGUGUGUAACAACUCACCUGCCCAAUCAACUGGCCCUGAAAAUGGAUGGCGCCAGUGCGACGGGCCCAUACCCGGCCGGCCAUAGCUGAAGGUCGGUUGGAGACAAAGGGGGACCGGAUCCACGGGCGCGCACGCGUCCCUGCCGGGCCCGGCACACACCCGCGCACGCUACGCGAUGACAAGUCCGAGUAGGAGGGCCACUGCGGUGAGCCUUGAUGCCUAGAGCGUGGGCCCGGAUGGAGCAGUCGCAGGUGCAGAGCUUGGAGGUAGUAGAAAAAACUCAAAGGAGAACUUGGAAGGCCGAAGUGGAGAAGGGUUCCAUGUGAACAGCAGUUGAACAUGGGUCAGUCGGUCCUGAGAGAUGGGCGAGCACCGUUCCGAAGGGACCGGCAAUGACAUCCCUUGCCCUCAGCAGAUCGAAAGGGAGUUGGCUUCAGAUCCCUGAAUCCCGAGUGUCGGAGACUGGCGCUGCGAGGCGUCCAGUGCUGUAAAGCAACCGAUCCCGGAGAAGCCGGCGGGAGCCCCAGGGGGAGUUCUCUUUUUCUUUGUGAAGCGCAAGGCGCCAAGGAAUGGGUUCGCCCCGAGAGAGGGGCUCCUACCAUGGAGAGCUUUGGGAUUCGGACGACGUCCGGUGAGCUCCCGCUCGCCCUUGAAAAUCCGGGUAAAGGGUGUCAAUCUCGAGCCGGGCCAUACCCAUAUCCUCCGGGGGUGGGCUGGGGUGGGCUGGG